rnacentral:rRNA from 1 species
GUCCACGCCGUGAACGAUGAUAACUAGCUGCUGGGGCUCAUGGAGUUUCGGUGGCGCAGCUAACGCAUUAAGUUAUCCGCCUGGGGAGUACGUUCGCAAGAUUAAAACUCAAAGGAAUUGACGGGGGCCUGCACAAGCGGUGGAGCAUGUGGUUUAAUUCGAAGCNACGCGCAGAACCUUACCAACGUUUGACAUCCUCAUCGCGAUUUCCAGAGAUGGAUUUCUUCAGUUCGGCUGGAUGAGUGACAGGUGCUGCAUGGCUGUCGUCAGCUCGUGUCGUGAGAUGUUGGGUUAAGUCCCGCAACGAGCGCAACCCUCGCCUUUAGUUGCCAUCAUUUAGUUGGGUACUCUAAAGGAACCGCCGGUGAUAAGCCGGAGGAAGGUGGGGAUGACGUCAAGUCCUCAUGGCCCUUACGCGUUGGGCUACACACGUGCUACAAUGGCGACUACAGUGGGCAGCGACCAUGCGAGUGGAAGCUAAUCUCCAAAAGUCGUCUCAGUUCGGAUUGUUCUCUGCAACUCGAGAGCAUGAAGGCGGAAUCGCUAGUAAUCGCGGAUCAGCAUGCCGCGGUGAAUACGUUCCCAGGCCUUGUACACACCGCCCGUCACACCAUGGGAGUUGGUUUCACCCGAAGGCAGUGCGCUAACCGCAAGGAGGCGGCUGACCACGGUGGGAUCAGCGACUGGGGUGAAGUCGUAACAAGGUAGCCGUAGGGGAACCUGCGGCUAGAUCACCUCCUUGAGCUUGGAUCCCGGG